rnacentral:tRNA from 1 species
AUGGGGGGCAUCUGGGGGAGCCCAGAGACCCCAUUGGGUGUUGCUCCCAUUUGGGGUGGGGGUACCGCUCCUUUGGCCAAUCGUAGGGCUCCUCAUUUGCAUGCUAAUUUGCAUAAAAGGGGAGUGGGCGGAGAAUUCCAUUGGAUUUUGGGGGUCCAGGCAACGCAGCUGAGCCAUGGUAUCUGCGGGGGGAAGGAAAAAAGACCCCAAAAGGGAAAGAGACCCCAGCCAAAGCGGGGACCCCAGAAAAGAAGGCGUCAGAAGACUGCAAGCAGGAGACCCCCAGCCAAGAGGGUGAAGUUUAACGGGAAAACAAAACCCAAACCCAAACGACAGCAGAAGAAAAGGAGGGUGGAGAGGGAAGCGGAGAGGCUGAGGAAGGAGAGCCAACGUCCCAUGGUGGGACCCGCACACGUGCGUGCUGCCCUGCACCACAUCAUGCCCAAGGACUGGAAGCGUGCGGACGGAGGGCGGUGAUGGCCAGCCCCAUCCCUCCCCAAACCCAACCGGGGGGGGCAGAAGAGGGGUGAGAUGACCCAAAUCCCAAAGGGAGAGGGGAUAAAACCCCGAAAGAAUGCAAAGAAACCGACGCAGCCGUUGGAUACCCCCAGUGGGGGUCAGGCAAGCGUGCAAAAUAACACCACGGCAUUGCAAUAAAUGCAAACCCUGCAGCAUUUUGCAGCGUCGAUGCCUUUCUCUUCAUUAAUUAUUUUGCUUUGGCUCGGAUUUAAUCAGCUGCAAGUCGAGGGUGUUUUGCGAUGGGGGAAAUAAAGGCUUUCCAUGCCCUACUGGAGAGGUGGGGUUGUGUUCAUAUUUAGGUUUGCUGGAAGGGGUGGGAGGUGGCACUGGAACGACUCACCCAUCCAAAUUAAAUAUGUGCCUUCAGGGCUGGAUCUGCUUCCAGAAAAAAAAAUAGAAAAAUGAUUUGGGGUGGAGUUUAGAAAACAACUUUCCCUGACCGGGAAUCGAACCCGGGCCGCGGCGGUGAGAGCGCCGAAUCCUAACCACUAGACCACCAGGGAGGGGGUGUGGGGGUACUGCUGGGGGGGGAGGUCCCACUGGUGACCCCAUUGUGGGGACUCACCCAUGGGUGGGGGGUUCUGUGCCACCCAUUUGGGGUCAGUUGGUCCCUGCUGUGCCCUUCAUGCCCCGCUCGUGUUUUUUGCACGGGUGGGUGAGCUUUGCAGAGGGGUUGUGUGCACGUGUGGGGUCUGUGGGGGUCUGUGGGGUCUGUGGGGUCUGUGGGUAGUAGGGCAGCAAAGCGUAGGGUGGCUGGUAAAAAGGGAAAAUUUCCCAAAUUUGGGUGGGGGGAAAAAAGAAGCUGUGUCAGAAGUGGGAUUUGAACCCACGCCUCCAUACGGAGACCAGAAAUCCCAUUGGGAAGGCUCAGCCUUGAGUCUGGCGCCUUAGACCACUCGGCCAUCCUGACACCCUGCAGCCUUCCUCCCCCUCCUCAUCCUCGUUCCUUAACCCGGGGUGGGCUUUAGGGGUCCCAAUUCUCUGUUUUUUGGGCCCAAAUCCUGGUGGAAAUUCCGAUGAGGAAAGCUGACAUCACAACGACUUCGGGACAGCCGACCAAUCAUGAUGCCUCAUCGGAACGCGGCCCCAUAGAGCCCCAUAGGACUUCUGGGGGGACCCCAAGCCGGGGAGGAGGACGGGGGGGACCCCAUGGCCACACCCAGCGAGAGGCAAAGCCAACAGCAGAGGAAGACGAGGAGGAGAAGGCAGAAAUUCCACCGCGUCCAAUGGAGGUGUCUGUCCCGAAGGCAGCGAUGGAAGCGAUCCCAAAAGGCAUCCAGCAACGGGAUGAGGACAGAACCCCAUAGGAGGAACUUGUCCCAUCAAUCCGAGCUGCUGACGCCCGCAUCCCGACGGAUGUCCAUCACGGCCAGGAAGAUGAUGUGCUCCUUCAUUACCUCCUUCUCCAGGGGGUUGGUCAGCGAUGCAGAUCAGCGCCGGCGGGAGCGACGGGGGUCCUUCAUUGGGACCUUGGAACUCAGGGCGGCGGUGGAUGCGGCGAUGGAGGGCGGAGCGGGGCUCCCCUCUUCCUCCUCCUCCUCCUUUUCCUCCUCUUCCUCCUUUUCCUCCUCCUCCUCCUCCUACACUUCUUCCUCCUCCUUCUCUUCGGGGAGCUGAAGAUGGAGAGCGUGUCGCCAUGGGGAGAAAUAUCCUGCCAUAGAGAGAAACGAGAGGGGAAGGGGGAAAUAAAUUCAGAGUCCUUUCUGCCCUAUGGAGCUCCUGUGUCCAUUCUGCGGGGUGGGGGAGCAUCAAAUCCAGUGCCCCGUGGGGACGUGUGGGGGGAAGAGAACCUGCAGGACGCUGCAUGUGUGGAGGUAUGGAGAACCCCAAAAUGUCACAAGAGUUGAGGUUAUAGGGGAACCCAAACUUUGAGAUAUAGGGAACCCCAAGCGUUGAGGUUGUAGGGGAACCCAAACGUUGAGACAUAGGGAACCCCAAGCAUUGAGGUUGUAGGGGAACCCAAGGAUUAAGGGAUAGAGAAUCCCAAACAUUCAGAUAUAGGGAACCCCAAGCGUUGAGGUUGUAGGGGAACCCAAACAUUGAGAUAUAGGGAACCCCAAGCGUUGAGGUUGUAGGGGAACCCAAGGAUUAAGGAAUAGAGAAUCCCAAACAUUCAGAUAUAGGGAACCCCAAGCAUUGAGGUUGUAGGGGAACCCAAAUGUUGAGAUAUAGGGAACCCCAAGUGUUGAGGUUGUAGGGGAACCCAAACGUUGAGACAUAGGGAACCCCAAGCGUUGUAGGGGAACCCAAGGAUUAAGGGAUAGAGAAUCCCAAACAUUCAGAUAUAGGGAACCCCAAGUGUUGAGGUUGUAGGGGAACCCAAACGUUGAGAUAUAGGGAAUCCCAAGCGUUGAGGUUGUAGGGGAACCCAAACAUUCAGAUAUAGGGAACCCCAAGUGUUGAGGUUGUAGGGGAACCCAAACGUUGAGACAUAGGGAACCCCAAGCAUUGAGGUUGUUGGGGAACCCAAGGAUUAAGGGAUAGAGAAUCCCAAACAUUCAGAUAUAGGGAACCCCAAGUGAGGAGGUUUUAGGGGAACUCAAGGAUUAAGGGAUAGAGAAACCCAAACAUUCAGAUAUAGGGAACCCCAAGCGUUGAGGUUGUAGGGGAACCCAAACUUUGAGACAUAGGGAACCCCAAGCGUUGAGGUUGUAGGGGAACCCAAACGUUGAGAUUUAGGGAACCCCAAGUGUUGAGGUUGUAGGGGAACCCAAACGUUGAGAUAUAGGGAACCCCAAGCGUUGAGGUUGUAGGGGAUCCCAAACGUUGAGAUAUAGGGAACCCCAAGUGUUGAGGUUGUAGGGGAACCAAAGGAUUAAGGGAGAGAGAAUCCCAAACAUUCAGAUAUAGGGAACUCCAAGUGUUGAGGUUAUAGGGGAACCCAAACUUUGAGACAUAGGGAACCCCAAGCAUUGAGGUUGUAGGGGAACCCAAGGAUUAAGGGAGAGAGAAUCCCAAACAUUCAGAUAUAGGGAACCCCAAGUGUUGAGGUUGUAGGGGAACCCAAGAGCUAAGGGACAGAAAAACCCAAACAUUGAGGUCAUAGGGAAUCCCAAAUAUUGAGGUUAUCAGGGAACUCAAGGAUUGAGGGAUAGAGAAACCCAAAUAUUGAGAUGUAGGGAACCCCAAUUGUGGAGGUAUGGGGAACCCUAAACAUUGAAGUUACAGAGAACCCCAAAAUGUGAUGUAUGGGGAAACCCCAAGUGUUGAAGUAUAGGGAACCCAAAAGUUAAGGGAUAGAGAAACCCAAAUAUUCAGUUAUGGGGAACCCCAAGUGUUGAGGUAUGGAGAACCCCCAAAUGUGAUGUAUGGGGAAACCCCAAGUGUUGACAUAUAGGGGACCCCAAACAUUGAGGUUAUAGGGACGCCUAGCGUUGAGGUAUGGGAAACCCCAAGGGUUCAGCUAUAGGGUGGGUGUCUCAGGGCUCAAGAAGCCUCAGGUGUUUUUUCCAGCUGCUUUUGGGGUAAUUUAAGGGUUGUGCACUUGAGCUGCUGGGAUGGUCCCUUAUAGGGUGCAGAGUUUUGCUGCAGUGAAAUGGGAUCAUGGGGAGGUGAGCUUGUAGGGGCUGCGGUGCUCCUGGGGGGAGGUGAGGGCAAACUCCAGUCCUCAUGUAUUUCCUCAGUAAUGGGGUCCCAUUUCUCAGGUGGGAACCCCAAAUAACCCCAAAUCCCAAUGCAUUCCCCCUCUUUCCCCAUAGAUAACGCCAAAUCCCUCCACGUUCCCUUUCUUUCCCUAUGGAUAACCCCAAAUCUCCCUCUUUCCCUAUGGAGAACCCCAAAUCCCACCAGGUUCCCCCCUCUUUCCCUAUGGAUAACCCCAAAUCCCACCAGGUUCCCACUCUUUCCCCAUGGAAAACCCCAAAUCCUCCCUCUUUCCCUAUGGAAAACCCCAAAUCCACC